AUGGAGGAGAAAGCGCCGGAGACGGUGGCGGCCCCGGCGGCGGUACUUGCGGUGGAUCAAGAAGUGGCGUACUGCAGCGAGCACCCCUACCCGCCGGGCGCCGCGGCGGCCGCGGGGGUGGCUGCCGGCAGUGGCAUCUGCGCCUUCUGCCUGCAGGAGAAGCUUGGCAUGCUGGUCUCCUCCUCCAAGUCCAGCCCCUUUCACCCGCCGCCUUCCUCCCUCACCCCGACCACCCCUCCGCCCAACAGGCUCGCCACUGAGAAUCUUUAUUCUUCCACCGCCUCUGCCAUGGCGAUCCCUCCGCACAAGGGCAAGACCUCGUCCUCGGCGCCCGCCCCGGUGGCCAGCGGGCUCAGGAGGAGCAAGUCCGUGGCGCCGCGGCCGGAGGAGCCGCCGCUGUCGUCGGGGAUCACCGCUGACAGCCCCCGCAAGAAGAGCUUCUGGUCUUUCCUCUACCCCUCCUCCUCGUCCAGCGGCCACCGGAGCGGGUCGUCGUCUCUGGCCAGUGGGGAAGGCGCCGCGUCGGCGAGGAGGAAGUCGGUGUCGGUGGCUUCGGCGACGUCAGCGUCGCUGGGGCGGAGGCUGGAGGCGAUCGAGGAGCCCGAGAGCCCCGGCCGCCGCAGCGAGGGAUCGUCGUCCUCGUCGUUCGGGAGAAAGGUGGCGCGCUCGCGCUCCGUGGGCUGCGGCAGCCGCAGCUUCUCGGGGGACUUCUUGGAGCGCCUCUCCACCGGCUUCGGCGACUGCGCGCUCCGGCGCGUUGAGUCCCACCGCGAGCCCAAGCCCAAGGGAAGCGCGCUCGGCCACCUUGGCCGCGCCCGCGACGCCGGCGACGGCGACGAGGACUACGAGUACACGCAGCAGCACAGGAUCAAGUGCGCCGGGUUCUUCGGCGGCAUCGGCGCCGCGCCCCCGGCCUCGUCCUCCUACUGGCUCUCCGCGCCCAACGCCGGGAGCGGCGCCGGCGCCAGCGGCAACGCGAGGGUUUCUGGCACACGGAGCCACCGGGGCUGGGCGUGGGCGCUGGCGAGCCCCAUGAGGGCGCUGAGGCCGACGAGCUCCACGUCCAGCAAGACCAUCAUGUCGGCAUCCGCGACGGUGGCGACGAGUUAG
rnacentral:rRNA from 1 species